rnacentral:lncRNA from 1 species
GCUUAUACUAUUCCGAAUAAAGUUUGCUUUUUUAUAAAGGUCUCUUUUCAAUGCAACAAUCGUUUAGUUUAUUUUAAUUUCAUAAUUGUCAUAAUACACAAUUACUAUAUACACCUAUGAAUGAAAAGUUUAAUAAACAACGAUACCCGGGAAACAAUAGGUCUGUUCUAAUCUACACAGAUCUAUGUUUUGGAACAAUUAGAUCUACUUUGUUUUGAACAUAUCUAUUUUGAUCACUAGAUCUUCUUUAAUCUCUGUUGGUCCAUCAAAUCUUUCAUUGUCAAGAUCAAUGGAGAUCCCCUCAGGAUUGAUAUUCUUCAGUAUUAAAAUUCGGAUGUUUGGUAACAUCACAUUCAUUAUCAGGUAGACGUUGGCAUGUAGGUACUGGUCCAACUUCACAAAUGCAUUUAACACAAACGGAAUCGUAGUGUGUUGCUUGAUUAAGUUCAUCACCAUAAUUCAUUAUCAUAUUACCAAAUUCACAAGUCACAUUUUCUGAAAUAGUAAAAUGUACAUCAAACAUUUAAUUCAUCAAUAUUAUACUUCAUUUUACUUUUUAUAUUUACCAUAUUCUGCUAGGUUCUUUUUUUCUCCAUCUCGUUUAAUUAUUUCAUCUCGUUUAUUUUCUAAAAAAAUUGACGAUUGAUUUUGUUAAAUAAAAAUUUACCAUCAUAAUUAAUUAAUGAAAAUAAUUUACGUACGACAUCGGAAUGAUAAACUGCAAUGCUUUUGUGGUGACUGAGAUGAAUAGUAAACUGGUGCACAUUUAUGAUGAAUGUCAUAUGCGUGGUACAAUUCACUUCCACAUUCAUAAGCUGAAGUUACACAGAAAGGUUCUACGUUUUCACCUGGAAAUGAAUUUUUCUAAUCAGCCAUUAGCUAUUUCCGAUUAAUUUUUAUUCAAUUAAAUCCGUUACCUUUAUAUCCAGGACCACAAUAACAGUCUUUUUCAGGUUGUGAUGCAGGUUUAAAAUACUCUCCAUCUUUGUAUAUUUUCCCAUCAACUUCACAAGUAGGUCGAUCUUCUAGUUUUUCAGCUGUUAAAAUAAAAUCAUUAAUUCACAAUUUAAAAUUUUGCGAUUUUACUAUGCCUGUUAUACUAACGACAUAUGAGUUUUUCUGCACAACACUCUGUAGCUUUCUGUGGCUCAUAACAUGUACCAUUUAUUGGCCAAUCUAUUUGAGGACAAUCUAUUUCAGCACAUGUAAAUUGUGCUCUAAAAUCAAUUAGCCAUUAUUAAAAUUCUUUGAUCACAGAUAAUUACAUUACAAUUCUGAACAUCAUACUUACAUUCCAUUAUUUUCUAUGCACAUGCAUUCAAUAUCACAAGGAUUACCAUCUUCAACUCUUAAAGCAUCUCCAAUGUUAUAGUCAUAGUUUUUGAUACGACAUUUAUCGAUAGGUCGUUCCUUCAAGUGAUCACAGUUAAAUUGAUAAGGACAACAAUCACCAGGAUUCUUAAAAAUUGGCUUGCAAUUUAAAUCCUUGAAAUACUUAAGAGGUCCUCGGCAUUGCGUUUGAUCACAUUCUAAAAUUAGAAGACGAAAUAAAGUGAUUUAUUCUCUAUAUGAGUUGAAUUUUAAAAGAGACUUAAUUAAUUAAUUUUUAAUCUCACCAUCAUCUGCUAGAGCUAUUAAAAUCAAGCAGUUAAUUAUUCCUAAAGCAAAAUUACGUCUAGAACUCAUUGUUAAUAUUACAGCAUAUUCUUAUGAAUCAACUAAAGCUGCUUGCUUCUUAUAUAAGGCUGAAGAAGUGAAGGUCAACUUAUCGUGUCUCAUUUAUGUAAAAGUUUAUACAAGUAGAUUUGUAACAUAAUAGAUGUUUGCAAAAAUAAAAAGACGAUGAUGACAUUGA